UGGGGAAUUUUGCACAAUGGGGGAAACCCUGAUGCAGCGACGCCGCGUGAUUUAGAAGGCCUUCGGGUUGUAAAAAUCUUUUUUACAGGAUGAAAAUGACAGUACCGUAAGAAUAAGGUCCGGCUAAAUACGUGCCAGCAGCCGCGGUAAUACGUAUGGACCGAGCGUUGUCCGGAAUCAUUGGGCGUAAAGGGUACGUAGGCGGCCUAGUAAGUUAGAAGUGAAAUAAUAUAGCUCAACUAUAUAAAGCUUUUAAAACUGCUAGGCUUGAGAGAUGGAAGGGAAAGUGGAAUUCCUAGUGUAGCGGUGAAAUGCGCAGAUAUUAGGAAGAAUACCGGUGGCGAAGGCGACUUUCUGGUCAUCAUCUGACGCUGAGGUACGAAAGCGUGGGUAGCAAACAGG
rnacentral:rRNA from 1 species